UUUCCGGUUGAUCCUGCCGGAGGUUACUGCUAUCGAGGUUCGACUAAGCCAUGCGAGUCGAAUGUAGCAAUACAUGGCGUACUGCUCAGUAACACGUGGACAACCUGCCCUUAGGACGGGUAUAAACCCGGGAAACUGGGUAUAAUUCCCGAUAGGUCUCGUCUGCUGGAAUGCAUCGAGAUCCAAAGCUCCGGCGCCUAAGGAUGGGUCUGCGGCCUAUCAGGUAGUAGUGGGUGUAGCGUACCUACUAGCCUACGACGGGUACGGGUUGUGAGAUCUUUUAUCCCGGAGAUGGAUUCUGAGACACGAAUCCAGGCCCUACGGGGUGCAGCAGGCGCGAAAACUUUACAAUGCUGGGAACAGCGAUAAGGGAACCUCGAGUGCCAGGUUACAAAUCUGGCUGUCGUGAUGCCUAAAAAGCAUUAUAUAGCA
rnacentral:rRNA from 1 species